GAUGAAGAACGCAGCGAAAUGCGAUAAGUAGUGUGAAUUGCAGAAUUCCGUGAAUCAUCGAAUCUUUGAACGCACAUUGCGCCUUCUGGUAUUCCGGAAGGCAUGCCUGUUCGAGAGUCAUUAACAACCGUUUCGAUCCCUUUCUUUCAGAAAUUACAAAGAGGAAAAGGGUUUGGUUAUGGUGGAGGAGGGAAAGGGAGCGUUUAGCCUGUAAAAAAAGAGGCUGUGUUCCGCCUCCCCCCCAAAAUUGUACAGGCGGUCGUGUGCGCCCACGCAUCGAGGUGUUGUAAAAGCUGCCACGGCACUUUUCACCUGUGCAGUGCGAGAUUGGCCAGCCGGUUUAAAAACCCCUCCAAACAAUCAAAGGUUGACCUCGGAUCAGGUAGGGAUACCCGCUGAACUUAAGCAUAUCAAUAGCGGAGG
rnacentral:misc_RNA from 1 species